rnacentral:rRNA from 1 species
AACGAACGCUGGCGGCAUGCCUAACACACGCAAGUCGAACGAGACCUUCGGGUCUAGUGGCGCACGGGUGCGUAACGCGUGGGAACCUGCCCUUAGGUUCGGAAUAACUCCCCGAAAGGGGUGCUAAUACCGGAUAAUGUCUUCGGACCAAAGAUUUAUCGCCUUUGGAUGGGCCCGCGUUGGAUUAGCUAGUUGGUAGGGUAAAAGCCUACCAAGGCGACGAUCCAUAGCUGGUCUGAGAGGAUGAUCAGCCACACUGGGACUGAGACACGGCCCAGACUCCUACGGGAGGCAGCAGUGGGGAAUAUUGGACGAGGGGCGAAAGCGUGAUCCAGCAGUGCCGGGUGAGUGAUGAAGGCCUUAGGGUUGUAAAGCUCUUUUACACGGGAUGAUAAUGACAGUACCGGGAGAAUAAGCGCCGGCUAACUCCGUG